UCGGGUCUAUUUUGAUCAAAUUAGUAGCUUAAAAAUGAAGGGCAAAAACCUAUAAAAAGGGCUUCACCACCAAAGCACGCGUUCUUCUUCUUCUUCAAUCUGAGUUUCCAGAACAACCUAAUCAUCCAUGGCUGAAUGGUCUCAUCUCCCCAAGGAUCUCCUCUAUCUCAUUGCUCAACGUUUUGAAACUCCUUUCGACAUCAUGCGUUUUCGAUCGGUUUGUUCCUCCUGGAGAUCCGUCGUCUCCCCCAAACGCCAUACAUCACCAGGUCCAUUCCCAUUUCUUCCAAACCACGGCAUAUCCGAUCCCACAUGGGGUUUCAAUCUCACCAAGCGCUCCGUUUUUCGUGUUGCCUCUCCCAUGGAUCGCUCACACGCCUGGUUCAUCAAGGUCGAAGAAGAUGCCUACGGAAUGAUUAAAAUAUCAAACCCCCUCUCUAAAUCUUACUUCAGGCCAUUGCCCAAAAAUUUUCCCAAGGUACUCAACUUGUUGAAUUUUCCGGUUUUAGAGCUUUGUCAGGAAUAUGUGCUGCACUACCUUAAUUUUUGGCCUGUGCGUCAUCGCCCUGACGAUGCCGGCGACUUGUAUAGGGAGAAGGUCGCUUACAAGUGUUUGAAUUUCGAUGGCAGUGAAUUCGUCUUGAUUACUAUUCAUGUUUCUGGAAAAUUAGCUAUGUUUAAGUCAGAGGAUGGGCGGUGGAGUACGAUUCCUCACACUGCGUUGCCUUAUGAUGAUGUGAUGUUGUUUAAGGGCGAGUUUUAUGCUGUUGAUAAUUCUGGGGCCACCUUCUUGGUGGAAUCUCAAGAUAAGGUCACUUUGAUUGCUGAACCUGUUUUUGGUGGCGACAAGAAGAUUUUGAUGGAAUGCAAUGGUCAACUGUUGUUGGUCGAUAUGUAUUUAACUGUAGACUCUGAAGACAGCUUUGGUUUGGAUGGUGAACUUCCUGAUGGUAUUCUACAGGAAAAAACAGUUGGGUUUAAGGUGUUUAAGCUGUGCAGUGAUGGAAGUAAGAAAUGGACUGUGGUUCGUGACUUGGGUAACACAAUGCUAUUCUUGGGCGAAAAUUGCUCGUUUUCUGCAUCAGCUUCAGGCUUAUCUGGUUGUAAAGGAAAUUGCAUAUUCUUUACUGACGGUUUCCUCUGUCCCAACGUGGAUGAAGAUGAUGUGUUUAAGGGUAGUGACAUUGCUAUAUUUGACUUGGAGGUUGGAACCAUAUCACCUUUAUUUGAUUCGCCUGUGUAUUCAAGGUUGUUUUGGCCACCCCCAAGUUGGAUCACAUCAACAUCAGGAGGAAGUAGUCUUCAUUCUAAAGAAAAGCAGAAAGGAAAAGUGAGGAAAGACCAGAAGCAUCCCUCUACUGCGGAAAGGAGAUGAUAAAAAAAAGCCCCUAAAUAAAUGGAUAUCAAAAGAAGAAAUAUGACUAAAUUUACACCGUCUCGGUCAUUCCUUAAGCUAAGUUCUAUAAAAUAUUCAAAGUCAUUCUCUGGACACUUUUGUUUGUUGGAGUUAGUACUAAUGACGAGGUUAAACAAAAGAAUCGUAUCUGCUCUGUCCAACUUCAUUGCUGUGUUCUUUACAUGAGUUCUAAAUUUAUAGGCACUUAUUCAUUGAUGGACAGUUUGUGAUGGAAUGUUGUGGAAUCUUCUUAACACCUUUGGGGUUUGUUUUGUUUGUCCUAACUAGAUUCAAGACAUGGUCUCUCUUUGUUGGUGUCUUUUUCAGAAAGAAACCUUUUCUUUGUGCUAACGACGUUAAGAGUUUCUUUGGGAACAUUUGGUCUGAAAGAAAUGGAGUUCUGUACUAAUUUCCCCUCUUUGAUUUCUCAGAAUUUCUCGUGGCUCAUUUAGAGAUGUUUGUGUAUAUUCUCUAAUAAAUUAUAUGGGUUUUCUAUCAAAGAAAGAAAAGGGGAAAAAAAAAAAAAACAAGUAUAUCAUUCUGUUUUAAUUUCUUUAUAUCUUCGUACAAAUUCCAACAAGAAUCUUCUGUUCUUUCGGAUCAAAUACUCCACAAGAGCAACACAGCAAAAGUUUCUCCACAACAGCAGCAAUCAAGAUCUCCUCACCCUUUCAGGGGCAAUUACAAUGUAGUUGAAAACAACCAAAAAAUUUUCCAAGGGCUUUCUUAGAGAACAUGAUCUUCGUCUCAAAAUUACUUUUGCCUAAGGAAUGCUAAUUGGGGUUUGACUGCAAUGGUUGGAUGGUGGGUUGAAUAUUUUUCAUGUCAAGAGUACAUUCAUUGAUUUUGAAUAGUCCCAUUGCCACUAUAUAGCACCUCCUUUUUCUAUCUGGUUGAUUAUUUCAGGAUGAUCUAUUUGUAAGGUUUCCUUCGACUUCAUCUAUUAAUUUGGUUCCUUUCUUGCUGCUAAAGGUCUAUUAAAUAGACUCUCUUUGUUGUUCCAUACCUGGUUAACAAGGCUUUCUUUCGUAUCUACAAAUUUCUCUGACUGUCGGCCAUUUAGUUUAAGGGUACACUCUUCCAGCCACAUGUUCCUUUCUUAAAUCUAAAUCUAUCCCUUUUCCCUACCUUAAACUCAAAAGAUAUAUCUGAACUCCCGUUCCUUUUACGUCCACAGAAGGACAAAUAUAUAUUUUUCAAGUUGGCACUCGCUUCACGGCCCAAACUCAGGAGAAAUCAAGAGUUUUCCUCAUAAAUAGUGCAUGAUCACUUGGCAGCCAUGUGAAAAUGGAGAAUAUAUAUUCCUUUUCCGCUUGUCAUGCUGAACUUCCACUUCAACCAUGCUGAGUCUUCAAUCUGUGGCUUGGUUGUCAUGCCAUCAUAUUCAAUCCCAUCUUUCAUCUGAAGUUGAAACUCAACAGUUUACAGGUGAUUGUUUAUAAAUAAAGUAUUACUUUCAUUAAUUUGAAUACCGUUGCUUUGAAGUUUCUAGCUGCUGCUCUUGCUAACCUUCCAUGGAUAUGGAUAGAGGAUCUUUGAUGAUGGGCCUGUAAAUUCCCUUUUCUUGUACCAGACAAAUAACAAAUUGAGUCUUCAAUUGAUUAAUACAGCUUAUCUUCUUCUUCUUCUUCUUCUUCUUCUUUUGGGUGGAGGGAACUUAUGGCAUCAUGUGGUAUUUGUAAUUGAGCCUCUGUCCAAUCAUAACUUUGACGUGGUUAACUAUUUUCUGGAACUCCCUUGGUGUCAGUAGGGAAAUUUUUCAGUAUACUACCUACAAUGUAUUUGAUGACGUGUCAAAUUAUGAAUAAAAGUAGUAGAUACUACUGUAGUA